rnacentral:rRNA from 1 species
UUGAUCCUGGCUCAGAAUCAACGCUGGCGGCGUGCCUAACACAUGCAAGUCGAACGAGAAAGUGGAGCAAUCCAUGAGUACAGUGGCGUACGGGUGAGUUACACGUGACUACCUACCCUCGAGUGGGGAAUAACCUCGGGAAACCGGGGUUAAUACCGCAUAACAUCUACGGAUCAAAUGCGUAAGCAGCUUGAGGAGGUGGUCGCGGCCGAUUAGCUAGUUGGUGAGGUAAUGGCUCACCAAGGCAAUUAUCGGUAGCCGGCCUGAGAGGGCGCACGGCCACACUGGAACUGAAACACUGUCCAGACUCCUACGGGAGGCAGCAGUGGGGAAUUUUGCGCAAUGGGGGUAACCCUGACGCAGCAACGCCGCGUGGAGGAUGAGGCCCCUUGGGGUGUAUACUCCUUUCGAUCGGGACGAUUAUGACGGUACCGGAUGAAGAAGCACCGUCUAACUCUGUGCCAGCAGCCGCGGUAAUU